AUUAUAGUACAAUUUGGCUAGAUUUUUGGUUGCAUGGUACGUAAAUUGGCUCUAUCAUAUAAAUAUUUUAUGUUUAUCCAUUCCAUAGCCUACACCUAUUUAUAUAGAGGCAUGAUGUAAGAGUUUUGUACAAAAAAUAAUAAUUCAUGACACCCAUACGGUAGAGAGAGAGAGGAAAGAGUGCUUGAAAUCAGAAAAUUUCAUACAGUCAAUAGUCUUAAUUUCACCAAGGCAGAAAAAGGAAAGAAUUUUGAACGUGCAUUUAGAUUUUAUCUUUCAAUAGCGUGGUAAGAUACUUUAUGUGCAAGUGUUUUGUGUUUCCUUAUGCCUUUAUAUUCAAUAUGCAUGGAUUGUCAGCGGACAAUUUUUGAAGAGAUAUCAAAUCCUACAGGAUUAUAAGAGGAUCUAAGAUAGGUGUGUCGCUCGGUCACAGAUAUAUUUUAUAAGAUCAGAGUGGCGUGAAAUGUAUAAUUUUAUUGUUAUAUAUUUAUAUAUAAAAACUGCAUGUAUUUUACUGGGUGUUUUCGAAUACUCACUCUUACAAAUUUUUACAAGUUAGUUUGGGUCGAUUGGACUGUGGUGAAUUGGUGACGCAGACUACGAAGUGAAUCAAAUAAAGGAAAUAGAAAAUAAUCACGAAGUUUGCUGUUAUGCUAUUUUUGUUUAUGCUUUUUAUUGUUAGUUUUAAUUGUUCAAAAGACUCACGUGUUAAUUAUUCAUUGGAUUAUGCUUAAAUCUUAG
rnacentral:lncRNA from 1 species